rnacentral:rRNA from 1 species
GAUUAACGCUAGCGGCAGGCCUAAUACAUGCAAGUUGAACGGGAUUUCGGGUAGCAAUAUCUGGAUGAGAGUAGCGCACGGGUGCGUAACACGUAUGCAACCUACCUAUAACUGGGGGAUAGCCUCCCGAAAGGGAGAUUAAUACCGCAUAACAUUAUGAAGUGGCAUCACUUUAUAAUUAAACCUCAGGGGGUUAUAGAUGGGCAUGCGUCCGAUUAGCUAGUUGGUGAGGUAACGGCUCACCAAGGCUCCGAUCGGUAGGGGGUCUGAGAGGAUGAUCCCCCACACUGGUACUGAGACACGGACCAGACUCCUACGGGAGGCAGCAGUAAGGAAUAUUGGACAAUGGGCGCAAGCCUGAUCCAGCCAUGCCGCGUGAAGGAUGAAGGCCCUAUGGGGUCGUAAACUUCUUUUAUACGGGACAAAACCCCCGCGUGUCGGGGUUGAUGGUACUGUAAGAAUAAGGGUCGGCUAACUUCGUGCCAGCAGCCGCGGUAAGUGCGCG